AGUCGCGUGGUCUAAUGGUUAUGAUUUCUCAUUCACAAGUUCUGUUUCCUGAGAAGGUUCCCGGUUCGAUCCCGGGCGCGACUA
rnacentral:tRNA from 1 species